ensembl:misc_RNA 7SK 7SK RNA
UGAUGUGAGUGUGAUUGACUGAGACAUUUGUCACCCCACUGAUUACUAGUGGCCGGCUAGGCAGACAUCUUCUUCUUCUUCUCUUACCCCUCCAAGUCCAUCCCAUCCAAAGCUGCAGGCUUAGCUGAAGAGGAAAGAUCUUCCUAGAUAGAGCAGGGACCUUUUUGGGCCCAGGGUAUACCAGGAGAUACAUUCGUCAGCUAGAACCUCCAGACUAGCUCUCAAGGUCCAAAAGUUUUUGGGAAUUCAAUUCAGGCAGUGAACAGUGUGGGGUGAAUCCCCACUCCUU